AACACUUUUGGCUUCUAUUCAUAAAGGAUGAACAUAGAAAACUCAAAUGAGGGUUUCAAUCUCUCUCUAGAUACCCCUUCUUCUUCUAGAUCUUCCUCUUCGAAGAAAAAGAACGACUAGUUCUUCGUCGAGUACUAGAGCUUGUUAGACGAUGAUGGCUUUUCCCCCUUGAGAGAAAUCGUCAAACCCGACUUCAUUAGGCCUUUGCCUCCUCCUCCUUCAGAGUGUUUCAGAGUGUGACCUUGUUCCCUUAUUCGAAUUAUACGAUGUCAUCGAUGCAUCUUACCGUGAUGGAUGGUGGAGUGGUGUCAUCAUCAUAGUUCUCAACAAUUCCAAGUUUGUAGUCACCUUCUAGAACCCUCCUGAUGAGAUCGAGUUGGGGGUUUCAGAGUUGCAGGUUCAUCGAGAGUGGGUCGACGGCAAAUGGGUCCAACUUGAAAAGCAGGAUUUUUUGGAACAUGCCCUUGAUUAUCUGUCUCUGUUGUAAACAUGGAUCGAUUGGACAAAGACGAGCAAAUUGAAUUGUUGUUUUCCUGUGAAUUUUGAUGGGUCUAUGAGAAGAAACUUCAACAAAUCAAAGAACUCAAAGGAUUAUAAGCUUUCUAAGAGCUUGUCUGAGAAGCUCGUCAAGAGCACUUUCUCUGGUGAGAACCAUACAUACCCAUUUUGAUUCUUGGUCCCUAGUAUGCAAUACUCAUUGAGUUUUUCAUCUGGGUAACUGAUAAAUUUUGAUAUAGGGACUUGUGAGGAUAUGAUUGACAUGGGUUUUGAGUUGUCUGAGGUUUUGUCUAAAUUGGUUUUCCAAUUUUAUGUUGAAUUCUUCAUUUACCAA